rnacentral:rRNA from 1 species
CCUACGGGAGGCAGCAGUGAGGAAUAUUGGUCAAUGGGCGGAAGCCUGAACCAGCCAAGUAGCGUGCGGGAUGAAGGCCCUACGGGUCGUAAACCGCUUUUGCACGGGGAUAACACCCUCCACUUGUGGAUGUCUGCAGGUACCGUGCGAAUAAGGGCCGGCUAAUUCCGUGCCAGCAGCCGCGGUAAUACGGAAGGGCCGAGCGUUAUCCGGAUUCAUUGGGCUUAAAGGGAGCGUAGGCGGGCGUUCAAGUCAGCUGUAAAAUCGCGCGGCUCAACCGCGCCCCGCAGUUGAAACUGGACGCCUUGAGUUGACGACAGGCAGGUGGAAUUCGUGGUGUAGCGGUGAAAUGCAUAGAUAUCGCGAGGAACCCCGAUUGCGAAGGCAGCCUGCCGGGGUGCGACUGACGCUGAGGCUCGAAGGUGCGGGUAUCAAACAGGAUUAGAUACCCGGGUAGUC